ensembl:snRNA
GAAAGGAAUAAGGGAAAAGAUUAUUGAGAGUUCUCUUGAUAAGGAUGGAAAAGAAUCUAGUAGCCUUUACCUCAUAUAUAUGAUUAAGAUAUUGCUACCUACUCUUGGUCAUUUAACCAUGUUUUCCU